rnacentral:misc_RNA from 1 species
CUUCCUUAAAGAGUGAGCAUAAAACAGGAUAAGUUAUAUUUUACAAAUGUUUUUCUAUAGUUUGAGGUACUAACUAACAAAAAUAAUAAAUAAUAAAUCAAUAUAAAUGGAAAUAUACCCACUUAAAUUUAUGCGCUAAGCGAAAAAUGUGAAGCAGGUUCUCGAGACCAUUUCCAAAUAGCCAACUUUCUACAUAUAAAGGAGCACAAUGGACUUCGUGCAUUAAAUUUCUAUCCACAGCAAACUUUUCGGACUAGCCAAUUUAAAUGCCAAUUGCAUAUGUCCCAAAACAUGAAUUGCAUCAUAACUGAACAUCUAUACUAGAAAAUUGCAUUUGUUCAAGUUGGCUAAUUUAAAAGUUAUAUUGAUCAAUAGGAUGAAAAUGCUUAAACAGCUAAAACAUCAACCUCGGUAAGUGUCAACCAAGGGGUAAUCCACGCAAUUCCUCCAGUAACUUGUGAUAGGACCAACAAGAUUUUGGACAGAUUAAUCUUUUCUGAGUUCCAUAUACUCAUGACGGAUACCAUCAGCAUUUAGGAUGACAAUUUCAAGCUUGUCUCCCUGUUGAACAAACAUGAAAGGUAAAGGAUAAUGGCAUACAUGAACUACAAACACCAUUAAAUAGCAAGUGCAUAGAGAAUAUCUAUUUGCCCAUUUAUUUCUGUGUCUGCAUGGUGAAUGUGCAUCUUCUGCAUGUGUACACAUGCACGUGUGAAAAAUUAAAGCACUUUCCCUCAUCUUGCCUUCCUUAAACAAAUUAAUAAUUAAAAGAAAACAUAAAAUAAAAUUAAAUAAUGGUAAUGGUACCAGAAACAAAAACUUACAGUGUAGAUAUCCCUCUCAGUUGCAGAUGCAAAAACAGUUUUCACUAAGUCAACAGCUUCCAAUUCUGAAAGUGGAGUUACAGCAUCCUGGGCAGGCAAUAACAGAGGGCUGGGAGACUUCAGUUGGUUAUCCAGAAAAGGCAUGAUAAGAGUGGAACCAGAACCUUGAGCACUAUAUCCAACCCUCUCAUAGGAGCCAACAGCAUCAUAAGUGUAGACACAGCCCUUUCCUUCACUAUCAAGACCACCUAGAACAUUAAAAGCAUAGUACGGAAAGAAGCGUUUAUAGUAGAGAGUGUUCGAGAGUAGUUGAGCCAUGGCAGGACAGCUCAUUUGCUUGUUGUGUUGGUGUUGAUAGAU